rnacentral:rRNA from 1 species
AUUGAACGCUGGCGGCAUGCCUUACACAUGCAAGUCGAACGGUAACAGGCCUUCGGGUGCUGACGAGUGGCGAACGGGUGAGUAAUGCAUCGGAACGUACCCAGAGGUGGGGGAUAACGCAGCGAAAGCUGUGCUAAUACCGCAUGUGAUCUGAGGAUGAAAGCGGGGGACCGAGCAGCAAUGUUUGGCCUCGCGCCUUUGGAGCGGCCGAUGUCGGAUUAGCUAGUUGGUGGGGUAAAGGCCUACCAAGGCGACGAUCCGUAGCUGGUCUGAGAGGACGACCAGCGACACUGGGACUGAGACACGGCCCAGACUCCUACGGGCGGCAGCAGUGGGGACUUUUGGACAAUGGGCGGAAGCCUGAUCCAGCAAUGCCGCGUGCGGGAAGAAGGCCUUCGGGUUGUAAACCGCUUUUGGCAGGAACGAAACGGUGUCCGCUAAUACCGGGCGCUAAUGACGGUACCUGCAGAAUAAGCACCGGCUAACUACGUG